rnacentral:rRNA from 1 species
AACGAACGCUGGCGGCAGGCUUAACACAUGCAAGUCGAACGGACGUAGCAAUACGUCAGUGGCAGACGGGUGAGUAACGCGUGGGAAUAUGCCCUUUAGUUCGGAAUAACUCAGGGAAACUUGAGCUAAUACCGGAUAAGCCCGAGAGGGGAAAGAUUUAUCGCUGAAGGAGUAGCCCGCGUCUGAUUAGCUAGUUGGUGAGGUAAUGGCCCACCAAGGCGACGAUCAGUAGCUGGUCUGAGAGGAUGAUCAGCCACACUGGGACUGAGACACGGCCCAGACUCCUACGGGAGGCAGCAGUGGGGAAUAUUGGACAAUGGGGGCAACCCUGAUCCAGCCAUGCCGCGUGAGUGAUGAAGGCCUUAGGGUUGUAAAACUCUUUUAUCCGGGAAGAUAAUGACUGUACCGGAAGAAUAAGCCCCGGCUAACUUCGUGCCAGCCGCCGCAGUAA